AACGAACGCUGGCGGCAUGCCUAACACAUGCAAGUCGAACGAGACCUUCGGGUCUAGUGGCGCACGGGUGCGUAACGCGUGGGAAUCUGCCCUGGGGUACGGAAUAACUCAGAGAAAUUUGAGCUAAUACCGUAUGAUGACGUAAGUCCAAAGAUUUAUCGCCCUGGGAUGAGCCCGCGUAGGAUUAGCUUGUUGGUGAGGUAAAGGCUCACCAAGGCGAUGAUCCUUAGCUGGUCUGAGAGGAUGAUCAGCCACACUGGGACUGAGACACGGCCCAGACUCCUACGGGAGGCAGCAGUGGGGAAUAUUGGACAAUGGGCGAAAGCCUGAUCCAGCAAUGCCGCGUGAGUGAUGAAGGCCCUAGGGUUGUAAAGCUCUUUUACCCGGGAAGAUAAUGACUGUACCGGGAGAAUAAGCCCCGGCUAACUCCGUGCCAGCCGCCGCGGUAA
rnacentral:rRNA from 1 species